rnacentral:ncRNA from 1 species
UAAGAGAUGGGCGAACGCCGUUCGGAAGGGAGGGGUGAUGGCCUCCAUCGCCCCCGGUCGAUUGAAAGGGAGUCGGGUUCAGAUCCCCGAAUCCGGAGUGGUGGAGACGGGCGUCACAAGACGUCCAGUGUGGCGACGCGACCGAUCCUGGAGAAACCCGCGGGAGCCCCGGGGAGAGUUCUCUUUUCUUUAUGAAGGACAGGGCGCCCUGAAAUGGGUUCGCUCCGAGAGAGGGGCCCGAGCCUUGGAAAGCGUUGCGGUUCCGGCGGCAUCCGGUGAGCUCUCGUCGGCCCUUGAAAAUCUGGGGGAGAUGGUGUAAAUCUCACUCCGGGCGGUACCCAUAUCCGCAGCAGGUCUCCAAGGUGAACAGCCUCUGGCAUGUUGGAACAAUGUAGGUAAGGGAAGUCGACAAGUCAGAUCCGUAACUUCUGGAUAAGGAUUGGCUCUAAGGGCUGGGUCAGUCGGGCUGGGGUGCGAAGCGGGGCUGGGCGCAAGCCACGGCUACAGACCAUGAAAGCAGGGCCUCACGAUCCUUCUGGCUUUCUGGGUUUCAAGCAGGAGGUGUCAGAAAAGU